rnacentral:rRNA from 1 species
CCUACGGGUGGCAGCAGUGAGGAAUAUUGGUCAAUGGGCGCGAGCCUGAACCAGCCAAGUAGCGUGAAGGAUGACUGCCCUACGGGUUGUAAACUUCUUUUAUAAAGGAAUAAAGUGAGGCACGUAUGCCUUUUUGUAUGUCCUUUAUGAAUAAGGAUCGGCUGACUCCGUGCCAGCAGCCGCGGUAAUACGGAGGAUCCGAGCGUUAUCCGGAUUUAUUGGGUUUAAAGGGAGCGUAGAUGGGUUGUUAAGUCAGUUGUGAAAGUUUGCGGCUCAACCGUAAAAUUGCAAUUGAUACUGGUAUCCUUGAGUAUAGUUGAGGUAGGCGGAAUUCGUGGUGUAGCGGUGAAAUGCUUAGAGAUCACGAAGAACUCCGAUUGCGAAGGCAGCUUACUAAACUGCCACUGACAUUGAUGCUCGAAAGUGUGGGUAGCAAACAGGAUUAGAUACCCGAGUAGUC